rnacentral:snRNA from 1 species
AUCACUUCUUGGCCUUUUGGCUAAGAUCAAAUGUAGUAUCUUAUAAAUUUCAAUUUUUUAAAUUUUA